CACUUCUAAGGAAGGCAGCAGGCGCGCAAAUUACCCAAUCCUGACUCAGGGAGGUAGUGACAAGAAAUAACAAUAAACCGGCUUAUGCCGGUUUAAUUGGAAUGAGUACAAUUUAAACAUCUUAACGAGGAACAAUUGGAGGGCAAGUCUGGUGCCAGCAGCCGCGGUAAUUCCAGCUCCAAUAGCGUAUACUAAAGUUGUUGCAGUUAAAAAGCUCGUAGUUGGAUUUCUGUGGGGACGGAGCGGCCGGCCGCAACUCGCGGUUCGAGCUAGCGCUUUCCCUACAUCCUGCCGCGAACCGUGCUACCAUUAGUUUGGUGGCGCCGGGGAUCGGCUCGAUUACUUUGAGAAAAAUAGAGUGUUCAAAGCAGGCCACAUGCCUUGAAUAAGUUAGCAUGGAAUAAUAACUAAGGACUUCGGUUCUAUUUUGUUGGUGUUCGGGACUGAAGUAAUGAUUGAUAGGGACAGUUGGGGCGGUCUGUAUUCCAAAGCGAGAGGUGAAAUUCUUAGACCUUCGGAAGACAAACAGCUGCGAAAGCGUUCCGCAAGGAUGUUCCCUUUGAUCAAGAACGAAAGUUGGGGGAUCGAAGACGAUCAGAUACCGUCGUAGUCUCAACUAUAAACUAUACCAGCUAGGGAUCGGCCAACGUUAUUUUAUACCGACUUGGUCGGCACCUUAUGAGAAAUCAAAGCAUCUGGGUUCCGGGGGGAGUAUGGUCGCAAGGCUGAAACUUAAAGGAAUUGACGGAAGGGCACCACCAGCCGUGGAGCCUGUGGCUUAAUUUGACUCAACACGGGAAAACUUACCAGGUCCAGACAUAGUAAGGAUUGACAGAUUGAUAGCUCUUUCUUGAUUCUGUGGGUGGUGGUGCACGGCCGUUCUUAGUUGGUGGAGUGAUUUGUCUGGUUAAUUCCGUUAACGAACGAGACCCCAGCCUGCUAAAUAGCGCGCGUGAGCUUUGCUCGCGGCGAGCUUCUUAGAGGGACUCUGAUGCGCGAUAGCACAUGGAAGUUUGGGGCAAUAACAGGUCUGUGAUGCCCUUAGAUGUUCUGGGCCGCACACGGGCUACACUGGCGCCUGCAACGAGCAUAUCAGCUGGCCCGAGAGGGUCUUGGCUAAUCUUUUGAACCGGCGCCGUGCUUGGGAUUGACCUUUGCAAUUGUUGGUCAUGCAACGAGGAAUGCCUUGUAAACGCGAGUCAUCAGCUCGCAUUGAAUACGUCCCUGCCCUUUGUACACACCGCCCGUCGCUCCUACCGAUGAAUGUUCCGAUGAAAUUUUCGGAGAGCACCUGUGAACUUGGCUCUGCCUUGCGAACGGGAGGCUCAAAGUCACUUAAAUCUGAACAU
rnacentral:rRNA from 1 species